UACGAAUACGAACCGUGAAAG
rnacentral:snRNA from 1 species